UAAUGAUUAUAUAUUCUGUAUUCGUUUCCUUAACUAUUUUUCACUCCUUUUGAAUAUACGGUCUUAUUAACUAUUAUUGCCAAUUGUGUAGUUUUGGCUUUAGAAGAACAUUUACCAAAAAAGGAUAAGACAACAUUAUCAGAAAAAUUAGAUGAAACAGAACCAUACUUUAUAGCCAUAUUUUCUGUAGAAGCUACUUUAAAAAUUCUAGCUCUUGGGUUUGUGUUACAUCGUGGAGCAUAUCUUCGUAAUAUUUGGAACAUGAUGGAUUUUGUGGUUGUUGUCACGGGGUAUGUAACAAUGUUUGUUCAGGACGCCCAUAUGUCAAUAGAUUUGAGAACCUUACGUGCCAUACGUGUUCUACGACCUUUGAAAUUAGUAUCCGGAAUUCCAAGUAAGUCUGCCUGUAUUGCUGCUUCUCAAA